rnacentral:rRNA from 1 species
GACGAACGCUGGCGGCGUGCUUAACACAUGCAAGUCGAACGAUGAAGCCGGAGCUUGCUCCGGUGAAUUAGUGGCGAACGGGUGAGUAACACGUGAGUAACCUGCCCUUGACUCUGGGAUAACUGCGGGAAACUGUAGCUAAUACCGGAUACGACCCUCGGAGGCAUCUCCUGGGGGUGGAAAGAAUUUCGGUCAAGGAUGGACUCGCGGCCUAUCAGCUAGUUGGUGAGGUAAAGGCUCACCAAGGCGACGACGGGUAGCCGGCCUGAGAGGGUGACCGGCCACACUGGGACUGAGACACGGCCCAGACUCCUACGGGAGGCAGCAGUGGGGAAUAUUGCACAAUGGGCGCAAGCCUGAUGCAGCAACGCCGCGUGAGGGAUGACGGCCUUCGGGUUGUAAACCUCUUUUAGCAGGGAAGAAGCGAAAGUGACGGUACCUGCGGAAAAAGCACCGGCUAACUACGUGCCAGCCGCCGCGGUAA